GAGAAGAACGUAGUGAAAUGCGAUACUUGGUGUGAAUUGCAGAAUCCCGUGAACCAUCGAGUCUUUGAACGCAAGUUGCGCCCGAAGCCAUUAGGCCGAGGGCACGCCUGCCUGGGCGUCACACGUCGUUGCCCCCCCAUCUACUCCUUCGGGAUUGCGGGGGGCGGAUGAUGGCCUCCCGUGCGCCUCGUCGCGCGGUUGGCAUAAAUGCCAAGUCCUCGGCGACGCACGCCACGACAAUCGGUGGUUGCGAAACCUCGGUUGCCCGUCGUGUGCGGUCGUCGCGCAUCGAGGGCUCGAAAAAAUUGCCGGGCUCCGGCUCGGCUUUCAACGCGACCCCAGGUCAGGCGGGGUUACCCGCUGAAUUUAAGCAUAUCAAUAAGCGGAGGA
rnacentral:misc_RNA from 1 species